GGGUUUGUAGUAUAAAUUAAAUACGUCAGAUUGCAAAUCUGGAGAUACAUUAUAAGUGUUUGACCUU
rnacentral:tRNA from 1 species